UUGAAGUUAGUAACGUUAACGUAACGAAAAAUUGGGGGGAAAAAUUACCAUGUUGCAAGCUUAUAGUGACUUUGAAGUAGUUAAGUUUUCAAAAUAUGAAUACGUUUUGCCUUAUUAUGAUUUACUGAAUUUUAGACAUUCCCGCAAUUGUGAAAUAACGAUUCUCCGAAACGUUGAUCAUUACAAUAACGAUACUAACUUCAGCCUUAUGAAAAACUUCAGAGUUUAAUAAUUUUGAACG
rnacentral:lncRNA from 1 species